UGUUUUGCUGAAUAUGCCUGUAUAUAUUUACAUGUAUACAUAUAUAAUCCAGAAAUAUAUGUGGGUAUACACAGACAUGCACACACGUAUAAUUCAAAACAUCAUGAAACCUUACAUUCUGGUUUAGCGAUCUCAUGUUUCUCACAAACAAUUAUCUCUACUUAUUUGUAAAUUUACUUAUUUGUGGAGAGAUUAGAUCCUUCACAACAUCCAAUGUGUAUUAAAACCCAUAUUCUAGAACAGAUGUCCAGAGACUAUUAAAUAAAAAUUCAUUUUUCAUUCCAAGUUGCAAGAUUUAAUAAGAUCAGCAGAUCUACACACAGAAACCUCGACUAACUACGUGAGUCUAGUAUGUUUAUCUCCACAAGACUGUGGCCUCUCACUGUCAUUUACGCACAUUUCCUGCAAUUCUGACAUCCUGAGUUUGCUAGAAGGAUGAGAAUCUGUAUAGGAGGACAUCUCAAACUCUAGUUUCCACCACCGAGGUAACCUCCUGUUUAGAUACCCCACAUUCACAUUCUAGGCAUCAGGUUCUAGAAUAGCUGUAAUAUUACUUAGCAACUAUAUGCAGCAAUAACACGACUGACUACAAAACAAUCUGAUGAAAAACCUAAUCACUAAUUAGUCAAUAAUUGAACAAGAACAUUCCGCUAAUGGUGAUGCCCUGAAGCUCACUGUUUCCCUCAUCAUGAAUUAUUGAAGUCAUGUGGCCUGAAAAAGUGCACACUGGAUGGACUUGUUGAUUCACUGCUAAAAGAGUCAAAAAGCUAAGGUGCCAAUCAGAGAAAUUAUUUCCCAAGGGCACUUAUAUACAGAUCCUUCCAAAAUAUUUCAGGAACUGGGGCUUUCCAGCAGGAGUGAUGCAGGAGUACGGAAUCAGAUGCCCACAAAGUGCAGAGACAUGUUUCUGAGUGUUACCGGGAGCCAGCCAGGCAGAGCUGCAGUGUGGGAGCCCGGCCUCAGAACGGGACACCCCACCAUCGAUCAGGAGACUGGCUUCUGCCCAUCUGCUCUUUAAGCCUGUGUCUCAGAUGGUGUGAAAUAGGGAUCACCCUGAGAGAAAGCUGUCACUGCAAGAUUCCGGGAUACACUGCCUUCAUUUUUAUAAAUGCAUGCAAUUAGCUAUGACUUUUAAAUUGGCACCAUGGUGAACAAGCAUGUCUCAAGCAUACAUGCCAAGUAUUACAAGCCGUUUUUCAAUGGCUUCAACUUCCUCAGCUCCAAAACCUUGGAUCUCACUCCAACUCAGCAUCUACUAUUAUGUUCUGUGUCUCCAUUAUAUUAGAUUUGCAGGAGGUUAACGAGAAGCACAGCACAUAAUUCACAUGAAUAGGCUUUGAAACCUAAGUGUGAUGAAAAGUAUUAUUAUUACUGUUAUGCAAAGUCCUUGCAGCAAAAAUUACAUUAUCCUUUUUCCAAAUAUAUUGUGAACCUAUUGCUGCGCUAGAAUUCAGAUCUAGGCUUUCUUAAAACUCCAUUUGUGAUGCUUGCACUUACUUCAUAAACUUCCUUGGGUAUGAAAACACUUAAGUUUUCUUUUCUCCCCAAUGCCCCAGGCAGUUGACAGGUGGAUAAUGACAUCAACAGGCAGGUGGCCAUCAAAGACUCAGGGUAGGUGUGUUUUUGUGAGACCCCAGGUGGUUGAUUUCUGUAUGAUACCUCUCCAUAAAUGUGAAUUUCCUAUUCUUUAUUUCUUAAUCUUAAUA
rnacentral:lncRNA from 1 species